rnacentral:rRNA from 1 species
UACGUAGGGUGCAAGCGUUGUCCGGAAUUAUUGGGCGUAAAGAGCUCGUAGGCGGUCUGUCGCGUCGGAUGUGAAAAUCAGGGCUCAACCCUGGACCUGCAUUCGAUACGGGCAGACUAGAGUUCGGCAGGGGGAGACUGGAAUUCCUGGUGUAGCGGUGAAAUGCGCAGAUAUCAGGAGGAACACCGGUGGCGAAGGCGGGUCUCUGGGCCGAUACUGACGCUGAGGAGCGAAAAGCGUGGGGGAGCGAACAGG